UACGAAGGGGGCAAGCGUUGUUCGGAAUUACUGGGCGUAAAGGGUGCGUAGGCGGGUCUUUAAGUCAGGGGUGAAAUCCUGGAGCUCAACUCCAGAACUGCCUUUGAUACUGAGGAUCUUGAGUUCGGGAGAGGUGAGUGGAACUGCGAGUGUAGAGGUGAAAUUCGUAGAUAUUCGCAAGAACACCAGUGGCGAAGGCGGCUCACUGGCCCGAUACUGACGCUGAGGCACGAAAGCGUGGGGAGCAAACAGG
rnacentral:rRNA from 1 species